rnacentral:rRNA from 1 species
GCACGGGGGGAACGCGAAGAACCUUACCUACCCUUGACAUGUAUAGAAUCCUGAAGAGAUUUGGGAGUGCCCGCGAGGGAGCUAUAACACAGGUGCUGCAUGGCUGUCGUCAGCUCGUGUCGUGAGGUGUUGGGUUAAGUCCCGUAACGAGCGCAACCCUUGUCCUUAGUUGCCAACACGUGAUGGUGGGAACUCUAAGGAGACCGCCGGUGAUAAACCGGAGGAAGGUGGGGAUGACGUCAAGUCCUCAUGGCCCUUAUGGGUAGGGCUACACACGUGCUACAAUGGGCGUUACAGAGGGAAGCUAAGCUGCGAAGUGGAACUAAUCUCAGAAAGGCGUUCGUAGUCCGGAUUGAAGUCUGGAACUCGACUUCAUGAAGUCGGAAUCGCUAGUAAUCGCGGAUCAGCAUGUCGCGGUGAAUACGUUCUCGGGUCUUGUACACACGC